rnacentral:tRNA from 1 species
CUAGCUAAAGAGGAACUAUCCCCUCCUUAAUGG